rnacentral:lncRNA from 1 species
AAGCCUGAAAAUGAAACUAGGAGAGAUUCUAUAAACUCAGCAACAAAUUAGAUACUUAAGCCUGACAUCGUGAAUAGCUGCAAUGAUAAAGUGACCGCGCGACAAGACAAGUGUUCUUGGAACAGUACAUAAAGGCGGCAUGAAUACCCUGAUUUGUCUUGCAAACAAUCUUUCCCACCUUAACCCAUCUAGCCCUAGCUGUAGUAUCUCUAUAAUUAAACAUCUGAUCCAAUCCCUGGCGUCUGCUAAUACAUAAUACUCCCUUAAUUUCCAUUGUUAAUGUAACCUCUAUUUUCACCUUUGCUGUGAAUGCAUUGUAAGAAAUAAGGGAGCAUUCUUAGUAUUGCACCCAAGUACAACUAUGAGGCAAGGAGCUCUUUAGGUUUCCAAGCUCCAGUUCUCUGCACUCUGGGCUCUCUUUUGCUUAGGAUUUUGUUCUGUUUUGUUUUUCCUUCGGUUGUUUUAAAAGCUAACAAGUGGUUAUUUAUCGUGAAGUAUUCACCUAUAUACAGAGCAAGAGAUUACAAGAGUGCCUAAAAAUGGACCAAAACAAGAGCAAUGGCUGCACAAGUAACUGUUCCCCUCCGUCAACUUGGUACGUACUAAACACAUCCUAAGAAAGAAAAAUUAAGGAUUGCUUUGAGAGCUCUAUUUUAUUAAUGCUAAACUGCAAGUGCUUUACUGGCCCUACAUCAACAUUCAACAAAGGGGAGGUUAAAUCUUGAUUGACAUAAUUAAGCUACCCUAUGACGAUGAAGAUAUUAGGAUGACUGUGUGCUAUGCAGUGCACCUAAAAUAACAAAUAGUAGACAGAGUCAAGGAAAGGUCAAAGAAAUUACUAACCAACCACUUCAAUCUUCAUUAGCUCGAGAGGGGAAAGGAAAAGCCAGGAGAAAACUGACAAAGAAAAUCAGCCAAAAUUUUCUACAAAACAACAGGGAUACAACAAUCACGCAUCAUUAACGAGCUCUAUGUGCUUAUAAUCUUCAAUCAAGUCAAAAUGCCAUAAUUCCAAGUUGAAACAAGCC